rnacentral:rRNA from 1 species
CUUUGUGGCGACCGGCGCACGGGUGCGUAACGCGUAUGCAACCUACCUUUAACAGGGGCAUAACACUGAGAAAUUGGUACUAAUUCCCCAUAACAUUCGAGAAGGCAUCUUCUUGGGUUAAAAACUCCGGUGGUUAAAGAUGGGCAUGCGUUGUAUUAGCUAGUUGGUGAGGUAACGGCUCACCAAGGCAACGAUACAUAGGGGGACUGAGAGGUUAACCCCCCACAUUGGUACUGAGACACGGACCAA